rnacentral:rRNA from 1 species
UACGUAGGGGGCAAGCGUUGUCCGGAAUUAUUGGGCGUAAAGAGCGCGUAGGCGGUCCGAUAAGUCGGCUGUGAAAGUCAUGGGCUCAACCCAUGAAAGCCGGCCGAUACUGUCGGACUAGAGUCCGGAAGAGGCGAGUGGAAUUCCCGGUGUAGCGGUGAAAUGCGCAGAUAUCGGGAGGAACACCUAUGGCGAAGGCAGCUCGCUGGGACGUUACUGACGCUGAGACGCGAAAGCGUGGGGAGCAAACAGG